AUGGUCCCUCUUGCUUUUUACUGCACGAGAAGGAAUAGAGCGUUGAAAUCCGAACAGGAAAACAGGGAAGAAGCAAAUUCCGAGUACCUUGAAAUGUUCAGCGCCACAAGGAAGCCUCAGAGGACUCAGACGCCUUUUACUGCCUUGCCGCCCCCUGCUCUGCCUCAGCCCCCAAUAUCGCAAUCAUGGAUGGAGAGCGGAGCCAAACCAGGGGAAGACCAGGAGGAAGGUCUCUACAACAACAUUCCCCUUCAGGGCAAGAAGAGAGCAGAACAAUACAGAGAUUCUGAAGAAGAAUGAGCCAUCGGGGAGAUUAAAAUAUUCAGAUGGGGAUUUAUGACCAGGGAGAUGGGGUGGAAGGGGUCAGGGAAGAGGGCAGUGUUUUUCUCUGCAUACGGCUUGGCUCAACUUCUGCAGCACUUUCCUCAAGAGCAGGGGUCAGCAAACUUUUUCAGCAGGCGGCCGGUCCACUGUCCCUCAGACCUUGUGGGGGACCGGACUAUAUUUUGAAGGAAAAAAUAUGAACGAAUUCCUAUGCCCCACAAAUAACCCAGAAAUGCAUUUUAAAUAAAAGAACACAUUCUACUCAUGUAAAAACACGCAGAUUCCCAGACCGUCCACGGGCCGGGUUUAGAAGGGAUUGAGCCUUUUCCAUUCUCAUUUUAAUCUUCUGACAUACCCAAGUACAGCCCACCCAAACACCCCCUGACCAUUGACCAUGCUGGCUUGGACAGAUACAGUUUGGUCCAACAACAACUGGAAGGCUACAGGUUCCCCCAGCCUUGUUCUAGAUAGAGGACAGAGGACCUUCUUGGUAGUGGCACCCUCCCUGUGGAAUGCCCGCCCUUCAGAUGUCAAGGAAAUAAACACCUAUCUGACUUUUGAAGGACAUCUGCAGGCAGCCCUGUUUAGGAAAGUUUUAAAGACGAUGUUUUUAGAUAUGCUGUAAACUGCCCAGAUGGGCAGGAUAUAAAUAAUAAAAUUAUUAUUAUUAUUAUUAUUAUUAUUAUUAUUAUUAUUAUUAUUAUUAUAAAAUGAUUUGCAAUAGCUAGAUGUGCCAUUGGAAGCUUAUGU
rnacentral:lncRNA from 1 species